CCUACGGGGGGCUGCAGUGGGGAAUAUUGCACAAUGGGCGCAAGCCUGAUGCAGCCAUGCCGCGUGUGUGAAGAAGGCCUUCGGGUUGUAAAGCACUUUCAGCGGGGAGGAAGGCGGUGAGGUUAAUAACCUCAUCGAUUGACGUUACCCGCAGAAGAAGCACCGGCUAACUCCGUGCCAGCAGCCGCGGUAAUACGGAGGGUGCAAGCGUUAAUCGGAAUUACUGGGCGUAAAGCGCACGCAGGCGGUCUGUCAAGUCGGAUGUGAAAUCCCCGGGCUCAACCUGGGAACUGCAUUCGAAACUGGCAGGCUAGAGUCUUGUAGAGGGGGGUAGAAUUGCAGGUGUAGCGGUGAAAUGCGUCGAGAUCUGGAGGAAUACCGGUGGCGAAGGCGGCCACCUGGACAAAGACUGACGCUCAGGUGCGAAAGCGUGGGGAGCAAACAGGAUUAGAUACCCCAGUAGUC
rnacentral:rRNA from 1 species